rnacentral:rRNA from 1 species
GACGAACGCUGGCGGCGUGCUUAACACAUGCAAGUCGAACGAAGUGGCGAACGGGUGAGUAAUACGUGGGUAACAUGCCCUCCUGUUUGGGAUAAGCUUUGGAAACGGGGUCUAAUACCCAAUUACGGGGGUUGGGCUCGCGGCCUGUCAGCUAGUUGGUGGGGUGAUGGCCUACCAAGGCAGUCACGGGUUGCCGGCCUGAGAGGGUGACCGGCCACAUUGGGACUGUGAAGCGUCCCAGAGUCCUACGGAGGGGAGCAGUGGGCGAUAUUGCGCAAUGGGGUAAAGCCUGAUGCAGCGAGUCCGCAUGGGGGAUGAAGGCUUUCGAGUUGUAAACCUGUUUCGCAAUCGAACGGGUAGGUGGAGAAGAAGCGCCGGCUAACUACGUGCCAGCAGCCGCGGUAAUAC